rnacentral:tRNA from 1 species
GGGGAUGGGUGGUGGCUGGUGCUGCUCCCGGACUUCAAAUCCGCGUGUCGGGACGCAGAACGUUCCGAGGUGUGUUCGAUUCGCACGCAUCCCCGCCA